ACUAAAGAAGGCUUCCCCACAACCCAUAUGCAUCUGCUUUGACUGGUGGUUUCUAUCAUCCUACAAAGACUGUGACUUAUUGGUGAGGGCAGCUGGACAACUCUGAGAGCAACUUAGAGAAAUCCAUCUUGGGCACACUCUAUAAAGGAGCUCCUUCUCUGCAAAUAGCACCCCAGAUAAGUGCACAAAAGCAAGAUACCCUCGUGGACCUACACGUCCUCCCGCUUUUCAACACCCUGAUGCCUGAAGCUAUGGUUGAUACUAAAGGAGGUUUUCCCACUAUCCGUAUGCAUCUUCUCUGUUUUGAGAUUGCAACUAUGGACAGUUAUGGCUAAUCCUAGUAGCUUGUCUUCCCUUCUUUUAACAUCUUGGAUGAAUUUGGGUCACACUAAUUGUUAUGUGAAGAUGGAUGUUGAAUGUAAGUUUCUCUGCCAUUCUUAGCCAAUAUAUAAAAAUUACAUUAGCCUAAUUGCUAACAAUGCCAAGAAUUUAGGUUUAGUAUCCCUCUGGACAAUGUAGCUUCUUGUUUUCUUACCAUAUAGAUACUCUAUAUAUUCACCCCAGCCAGUCAUUUU
rnacentral:sRNA from 1 species